GACGUAGGGUGCGAGCGUUGUCCGGAUUUAUUGGGCGUAAAGAGCUCGUAGGCGGCUUGUCGCGUCGACCGUGAAAACUUGGGGCUCAACCCCAAGCCUGCGGUCGAUACGGGCAGGCUAGAGUUCGGUAGGGGAGACUGGAAUUCCUGGUGUAGCGGUGAAAUGCGCAGAUAUCAGGAGGAACACCGGUGGCGAAGGCGGGUCCCUGGGCCGAUACUGACGCUGAGGAGCGAAAGCGUGGGGAGCGAACAGG
rnacentral:rRNA from 1 species